GUCAAAAGCACCCUCAGGUGGCCAGCCCACUCCAAACGUUGGCCACUCGGAGGCGCAAAAGGUCUGCCACGGACCCUUUCUGACCUCCACCGACUGGUUGUGGGCUCUGACCCGCACCUCCUUCCAAUGCUCCAGAGUCAGAGAAAGGGGAGUGGACACAGAUUGUCCCAUUUCUAGAAAAACAGUAGUCACAACAAGAGCGGACACGAGACUAAG
rnacentral:lncRNA from 1 species